rnacentral:pre_miRNA from 15 species
CAUGUCGUUAAAAUGUUUGUGAACUUAUGUAUUCACAAUCAUAUCACAGCCAUUUUGACGAGUUUGG